rnacentral:rRNA from 1 species
UGAGGAAUAUUGCACAAUGGAGGAAACGUCUGAUGCAGCAACGCCGCGUGGAGGAUGACGCAUUUCGGUGUGUAAACUCCUUUUAUAAGGGAAGAAAAUGACGGUACCUUAUGAAUAAGCACCGGCUAACUCCGUGCCAGCAGCCGCGGUAAUACGGAGGGUGCAAGCGUUACUCGGAAUCACUGGGCGUAAAGGACACGUAGGCGGGAUGCCAAGUCUGAUGUGAAAUCCUAUGGCUUAACCAUAGAACUGCAUUGGAAACUGGUAACCUAGAGUAUGGGAGGGGGAGAUGGAAUUAGUGGUGUAGGGGUAAAAUCCGUAGAUAUCACUAGGAAUACCGAAAGCGAAGGCGAUCUCCUGGAACAAUACUGACGCUAAGGUGUGAAAGCGUGGGGAGCAAACG